rnacentral:rRNA from 1 species
CAAUAGCGUAUAUUAAAGUUGUUGCAGUUAAAAAGCUCGUAGUCGGAUUUUGGCAUCACGCCGAACUGUCUGCCGAUUGGUAAGUACGGUUUGGCGGGUGCUUCUUUCUUGAAGCUCGUUCCCUUCUUAACUGAAGGGUUCGUUGGUUCAGGUUCUUUUACUUUGAGAAAAUUAGAGUGUUCAAAGCAGGCCUAUGCUCUGAAUAGGUUAGCAUGGAAUAAUAGAAUAGGACUUUGGUUCUAUUUUGUUGGUUUCUACAGCCGAAGUAAUGAUUGAUAGGGAUAGUUGGGGGUGCUAGUAUUCUGCGGCCAGAGGUGAAAUUCUGUGAUUCGCGGAGGACUGACUUAUGCGAAAGCAUUCACCAAGGAUGUCUNCUUUAA